GGCCCAGUGAUCUAGGGGUAUGACACUCGCUUCGGGUGCGAGUGGUCUCGGGUUCGAAUCCCGGAUGGGCCC
rnacentral:tRNA from 1 species